rnacentral:tRNA from 1 species
AUUUAUCUAGUAUAUUAGUACAAUUAUCUUCCAAAUAAUAAGUUUGUUUAUCAAGAUAAAUA